rnacentral:rRNA from 1 species
GUCUUGAUGGCAGACCCAGGGAACUGAAACAUCUAAGUACCUGGAGGAAGAGAAAGAAAAAUCGAUUCCCUGAGUAGCGGCGAGCGAAACGGGAAGAGCCCAAACCAAGAGGCUUGCCUCUUGGGGAUGUAGGACACUCUAUACGGAGUUACAAAAGAGCGAGUUAGAUGAAGCGACUUGGAAAGGUCCGCCAGAGCAGGUAAAAGCCCUGUAGUCGAAAGUUCGUUCUCUCCUGAGGGGAUCCUGAGUACGGCGGAACACGUGAAAUUCCGUCGGAAUCCGGGAGGACCAUCUCCCAAGGCUAAAUACUACCUAGUGACCGAUAGUGAACCAGUACCGUGAGGGAAAGGUGAAAAGCACCCCGGAAGGGGAGUGAAAGAGAUCCUGAAACCGUGUGCCUACAAGUAGUUAGAGCCCGUUAAUGGGUGAUAGCGUGCCUUUUGUAGAAUGAACCGGCGAGUUACGAUUACGUGCGAGGUUAAGCUUUAGAAGGCGGAGCCGCAGCGAAAGCGAGUCUGAAUAGGGCGAAUUAGUACGUGGUCGUAGACCCGAAACCAGGUGAUCUACCCAUGUCCAGGGUGAAGGUGAGGUAACACUUACUGGAGGCCCGAACCCACGCACGUUGAAAAGUGCGGGGAUGAGGUGUGGGUAGCGGAGAAAUUCCAAUCGAACUUGGAGAUAGCUGGUUCUCUCCGAAAUAGCUUUAGGGCUAGCCUCGUGAUGAGAAUACUGGAGGUAGAGCACUGUUUGGACUAGGGGGCCAUCCCGGUUUACCGAAUUCAGACAAACUCCGAAUGCCAGAUAUUUAUACACGGGAGUCAGACUGCGAGUGAUAAGAUCCGUAGUC